UGGGGAAUCUUGCACAAUGGGGGAAACCCUGAUGCAGCGACGCCGCGUGAGCGAUGAAGGUUUUCGAAUCGUAAAGCUCUGUCCUAUGGGAAGAUAAUGACGGUACCAUGGGAGGAAGCCCCGGCUAACUACGUGCCAGCAGCCGCGGUAAUACGUAGGGGGCGAGCGUUGUCCGGAAUUACUGGGCGUAAAGGGUUCGCAGGCGGCAUGGCAAGUCCGAUGUAAAAGGCGAAGGCUCAACCUUCGUAAGCAUCGGAAACUGUCAAGCUUGAGUGCAGGAGAGGCAAGUGGAAUUCCUAGUGUAGCGGUGGAAUGCGUAGAUAUUAGGAGGAAUACCGGUGGCGAAGGCGACUUGCUGGACUUCAACUGACGCUGAGGAACGAAAGCGUGGGUAGCAAACAGG
rnacentral:rRNA from 1 species